rnacentral:misc_RNA from 1 species
GAUGAAGAACGUAGCGAAAUGCGAUAAGUAAUGUGAAUUGCAGAAUUCAGUGAAUCAUCGAAUCUUUGAACGCACAUUGCGCCCGCCAGCACUCUGGCGGGCAUGCCUGUCCGAGCGUCAUUUCAACCCUCGAGCCCCCGGGCCCGGCGUUGGGGGACGGCCACAGCGCGCCGCCCCCGAAAUGCAGUGGCGACCCCGCCGCGUUCCUCCCCUGCGCAGUAGCUCUCCAGAGAACCUCGCACCGGCGGCGCGGCGGCGGUCACGCCGUGAAACGACCACAACCCCAAGAGUUGACCUCGGAUCAGGUAGGGAUACCCGCUGAACUUAAGCAUAUCAAUAAGCGGAGGA